rnacentral:rRNA from 1 species
AUGAACGCUGGCGGCGCGCCUAAUACAUGCAAGUCGAGCGAGAAGACGUAGCAAUACGUUUGUAAAGCGGCGAACGGGUGAGGAAUACAUGGGUAACCUACCCUAGAGUGGGGAAUAACUAGCCGAAAGGUUAGCUAAUACCGCGUACGCUCCUUGGACUUCGGUUCAGGGAGGAAAGCGAUACCGAGGGUAUCGCGCUCUUGGAUGGGCUCAUGUCCUAUCAGCUUGUUGGUGAGGUAACGGCUCACCAAGGCUUCGACGGGUAGCUGGUCUGAGAGGACGAUCAGCCACACUGGCACUGCGACACGGGCCAGACUCCUACGGGAGGCAGCAGUAAGGAAUAUUGCGCAAUGGGCGAAAGCCUGACGCAGCGACGCCGCGUGGGGGAUGAAGGUCUUCGGAUUGUAAACCCCUUUCGGGAGGGAAGAUGGAACGAGCAAUCGUUCGGACGGUACCUCCAGAAGCAGCCACGGCUAACUUCGUGCCAGCCGCCGCAGUAAC